AUGACGAGUGGCGGACGGGUGAGUAAUGCUUGGGAACUUGCCUUUGCGAGGGGGAUAACAGUUGGAAACGACUGCUAAUACCGCAUAAUGUCUUCGGACCAAACGGGGCUUCGGCUCCGGCGCAAAGAGAGGCCCAAGUGAGAUUAGCUAGUUGGUAAGGUAACGGCUUACCAAGGCGACGAUCUCUAGCUGUUCUGAGAGGAAGAUCAGCCACACUGGGACUGAGACACGGCCCAGACUCCUACGGGAGGCAGCAGUGGGGAAUAUUGCACAAUGGGGGAAACCCUGAUGCAGCCAUGCCGCGUGUGUGAAGAAGGCCUUCGGGUUGUAAAGCACUUUCAGUUGUGAGGAAAAGUUAGUAGUUAAUACCUGCUAGCCGUGACGUUAACAACAGAAGAAGCACCGGCUAACUCCGUGCCAGCAGCCGCGGUAAUACGGAGGGUGCGAGCGUUAAUCGGAAUUACUGGGCGUAAAGCGCACGCAGGCGGUUUGUUAAGCUAGAUGUGAAAGCCCCGGGCUCAACCUGGGAUGGUCAUUUAGAACUGGCAGACUAGAGUCUUGGAGAGGGGGAGUG
rnacentral:rRNA from 1 species